UAAGUCUCCUGAAGGAACGUUGAAGACGACGACGUUGAUAGGUCGGGUGUGUAAGUGUAGCGAUACAUUGAGCUAACCGAUACUAAUGAACCGUGAGGCUUAACCUU
rnacentral:rRNA from 3 species